GCUGCGCCUGCGCCCUGCGUCGUGAAGCCUCGGCCGCGCAGGCGCUUCCGGGCCCUGCCAGCGGGGCAGCAGGGCGCGAGGGUUGAUGGGAGGGCGCUCAGCCGGACGCCGCGCGGAGUGCCACGAGAGCAGGGACUUCCCUGGAAUCCGCCUGCCAAUGCAGCAGACACACGUUCGAGCCCUGGUCUGGGAAGAUCCCACAUGCUGCGAUGCAACUAAGCCCGUGCGCCACAGCUACGGAGCCUGCACUCUAGAGCCUGUGAGCCACAAUCACUGAGCCCGCAUGCCACAACUACUGAAGCCCACACGCCUAGAGCCCAUGCUCCACAACAAGAGAAGCCACCUCAAUAAGAAGCCCGCACACCGCAACAAAGAGUAGCCCCUGCUCUGCAAUUAGAGAAAAUCCGCACACAGCAACAAAGACCCAAUGCAGCCACAAAUAAAUAAAU